rnacentral:rRNA from 1 species
ACAAGCGGUGGAGUAUGUGGUUUAAUUCGAUGCAACGCGAGAACUUACCUGGUCUUGACAUCCCGGAGACCCUUAGGAAACUAGGGGUGCUUCCAUCUGGAAGAAUCUGGAGACAGGUGCUGCAUGGCUGUCGUCAGCUCGUGUCGUGAGAUGUUGGGUUAAGUCCCGCAACGAGCGCAACCCUUGCCUUUAGUUGCCAGCAGUUCGGCUGGGCACUCUAAAGGGACUGCCGGUGUUAAACCGGAGGAAGGUGGGGAUGACGUCAAGUCCUCAUGGCCUUUAUGACCAGGGCUACACACGUACUACAAUGGCCGAUACAAAGGGCAGCGACACUGCGAGGUGAAGCCAAUCCCGUAAAAUCGGUCUCAGUCCGGAUUGGAGUCUGCAACUCGACUCCAUGAAGUUGGAAUCGCUAGUAAUCGUGGAUCAGCAUGCCACGGUGAAUACGUUCCCGGGCCUU